UGCUUUUUAGUUUAUUUUAAAAUGUUGAUUUUGUAAGUCGGGGUAAGGGGGAGUUCCUAGAAGCAG
rnacentral:tRNA from 1 species